CUCUUAUUGCGAGAGGCGGAGGGACUGGCCCUAUGAUGCCCAGCAACCGAUAAGAUGAUUCAUCAUCUUAUAAGGUGCUAAAUCCUGCAAAGUGUUUACCACUUUGAAAGAUGAGAG
rnacentral:ncRNA from 2 species